rnacentral:misc_RNA from 1 species
GCCCCCUUCUCUGUCGUACGCUUCCUCUGUUUUCUCUCUGUCUCUGCUCCUCAAGCCCUAUCUCUCACAGCAUUCCCAUUUUAAUUUCCUCUCUUGAUUUCAAUUGCAUACUCCAUUUUCUAGCUGGAAACAAGGCCAAGGAGCUUACAUUGUGGAGAAACAUUGCGUAUACAGCAAUGUCUGUCUCUUCUAAGCUUCAAUCUUCGGCCAAACCGGUACCUGAGAAGCGAGCGAUUCUCGUUCCCACUUGGAAUAGAGUUAGAGUUUCUGAAGAGUCCAGACGGAAAAGCGAGGUUUUGGAGAAGGCACAGCAGAGACCAAAGAGGCCAGUUGCGAAGGCCGCGGUUUCGGAGAUGCAGCAAGCUGUAGUUAAGAACAAUUUGUCGGUGGACAGCUCGUGUUCUUCGGAUUCCAAUUUUUCAUCGUCUUCUUCUUCUUCGAGUAGGUCUUCGGCGAUGGUGGCAAGUCCGAGAAGGACUGUGAAGCGCAACGGAUUACGAGCUGUCAAGGUUGUACCUGACGGUGGUGAAUUUGAUGGGAUUUCGCCAAAGAAGAACGUGCCUGCGAAGAAGUGUGAUUGGAUCACGCCGCAUUCUGAUCCACUUUAUAUGUCUUUCCAUGAUGAAGAAUGGGGAGUCCCAGUUCAUGAUGAUAGUAAGCUGUUUGAGUUGCUUGUAUUUUCACAAGCAUUAGCAGAAAUGAGCUGGCCAGCAAUUCUUCACAUGAGAGACAUUUUCAGGAAACUUUUUGACAACUUCGAUCCAUCGUCGGUUGCACAGUUAACCGAGAAGAAGCUGCUGUCACUGAAAGUGAAUGGCAAACUAUUGCUAUCGGAACCAAAGCUUCGUGCAGUAGUAGAGAAUGCUAAACGCCUGCUUAAGGUAAUUCUGUAGGCCAAGGCAUCAAUUCUAGGGACUUCAUGGAUACAUAUUUGCUUAUGGGGCCGAGUUAAUGAAAAGACAGAGGAAGAUUUUUGAAAGAUAUUGAAAACUCAGCUCUCCUAUAUAUUCCUGAGCUUAACAUCAUCACCUUCGUGAUGUUCCUUAAUAUAGGUUCCAUUAUCGAGACUUAACGUUAUUGUGAUAUCUCUUGAUUGUACAGAACUGUGUUUCAAGAAAAAAAAUAUAUUGGGACCCAUUCAUACAAAGAUUAAACUUAAUUUUGAAUCCACUUGUUGCUCAUAUUUGCAGGUUCAGCAGGAGUUUGGUUCCUUCAGCAACUAUUGCUGGCGUUUUGUGAAUAACAAGCAACUAAGAAAUACAUUCCGUUAUGCACGUCAAGUACCAGUCAAGACGCCAAAAGCAGAACUUAUAAGCAAGGAUCUAAUGCAGAGGGGCUUUCAUUGUGUUGGACCUACUGUUGUUUAUUCAUUCAUGCAGGUUGCUGGGAUUGUUAAUGAUCAUCUUGUAACAUGCUUCAGAUACCAAGAGUGUAAUACAAAUGUGAAAAAGAAUUUCAACCCCGAGACUGAAAAGACACAGAUAGUAACUGAAGCAUUGGAGAACACAUGCUUAUCUCAAUGACCAAGUGGUCUCAACUACAACUUUCUUCUGACAAAUCACACUACUAUGAUUGUAGCAAUACGAGGGCAGACCGCAGAUGUUCUCAAGUAAUGACUUAGGACUCCCUUCUUCUAUAUGUUUUAGUUGCAUAAGCUAUUCUUCCACUAGUGAAUCAUUGACCUAAACUAGAUAUUACUACAAUGAAAAUUUCUUGCGACUCCAUGCAUUCUCUGCGCAUCUAGGAUUCAUGAAGUUUCUAAGGAGGUUCCUGUCUGAUUCACUAUUGUCCUCUCUGUAUUUUUCGUUGUCUUUUAAUGCUCUAAAAUAAUCUAGGGAAUCUUUGAACAAUAUUUUUUUUUAUUUUUUUAAAAAAUGCUAGGUCAAUAUGGUGCUAUAUGGCAACGCAUCAGAUGACCAAAGCUUCGUGCCCUGAACGACAAAAAGAAUAGAAAUCUCAAAUUUAAGAGAUAAAGCUAAAUCUCCUAUUAUUUGUUUUCCUCUUGUACAUUCUCUCGUUUUAUAUUUGAACAUCCGCAUGAGCGAACGCGGGGCUUGUCGGGCAAUGUAAGUCCAGAGCCAGCCUUGUUCAGUUGGUUGAUGCGCAAUGGGACCGUAUAUGAUCUGCUUGGCGUAUCAUAAGCACCAUAUAACAAUUUUACCAUUGCAACUAUGAUAUGGAUUUAUAUCUUCCACUCCCAGCUUCCACAAGUAUAAGAGUACAAUGUAAACUAUCAACACGAAAAUCUUAAAUGUAACAAAAAGCAGGUUGGGUCCUUUGUAACAAGGUACAUCCAUUGAUAUGGUAAACAAACAAAUGAUUUCAUUUUAUCAGGUCUCAUCGAAGUAGAAAAAAAACUCAUCAAUUCCAGAAAUAUUGCACACUAUCUACAUGUAAUGCUUGCGAAAACAUCCCAAACUUUUCUGGCAAAUGUGACUGUCAAAUGAGUAAAAGAGAAUGAAACUAAAUAAACAUAAAAUUAAACAUGAAAAUUUAAUUCCCUGCUACGUAUGCACUUCCCAUCAAAACAAUGGAGCAAUGGAUUGCAAAUAUUCUUCCAAACCAAUGCUCAAUGUACCACAACCUAGAGUAAGAAUACUUCUUCUGUUCCAACAUCUGCUCACCGUAUAUUCCCUUUGAUUCCAGCAUUUCCUCACUAUGAUUUCAACUGGAUAUAUCAGCUCACCUUAACUCCGAGCCUUCCCAUUUCCGAGUGUGAGCUCCAGAUCAUCCAAUCCUACCUCAUGAAUCCUCUCUCCUUCCCAUGGCUUCACCAGUCCUGUUGCAUUGCUACCAAAUGCAAACUCAUCAGAAAUUACCUCAGACAUCGGAACAUCAGCAGUAUUAUCAAAGCCAGCUGCAAUGGCAGGAGAACAGGUCCCACUUUGCCCAGGAGUCCACAUGCAGGAUCCACCACGGGAUCCACCAUGGGAUCCACCACCAGCUAAAGCCUCUUCCUUGAAGCCAAAUGGGUUGGAAGAAACAAGGCUGAAUGUGGGAGAAUUUGGGCCAGCCUGUGGGAUGCCAAUUCUGGCAAACCAUUCAGGAUCAGGAAGAAUCUGCCGGCCAGGGCUUGGUGGAGUAGAAGAUGGUAGGAAGGAAUAAUGCUGCCCACCCCAGCUUCGGUAGGCAGAUUGGUCAUCCCAAUCAGCUUUUAUUCGAGGCGUUCGGGCAGUUGGAGAACUUAAAGGAGGGGUAACAGGAGCACUGAUGGAUCCACCAUGGAUGUAGAGAUUGGGGAGCUUGGAGGAUGAUGCACAUGAGGAUGCAGAUGAGAGGUUUUUGAGCCACAGGAUGGGGGAAUUCCUGUCAGCAUUAGUAUUAGCAGCAUAGGAGGAUGAAGCUGGACUUGGAAAGGAAGAGGAUGCAGGACUAGGGUUGUAGGAAGCACAAGGACUUGGUUGGUAAGAGGAGCAUGGGCUUGCUGUUGCAGAACCACCCACAAUAUCCACGCGCUCCACAGGCUUGCACCCCUUACGAUAGGUGGUGCCAUCGGGCUCGACGGUCCAACCAGCCUCAUUGCAGAGGGCUUUGAGGACCUCGUUGUUGUCACAGUGCUUAGGAAGCUUAUAGUUACCGUACAUCCUUAGUCCUGCGAAGAUCUUUGCUGCUAUUGCUCUCCUUCUCCUUUCUCUCCUCUUGUUGUUCUCUCUUUCGUUCCAUGUUGGUAACCUAGUCCCGGAAGUCAUAGUCCCUCAGCUAGACACCACCAACUCCAAAUUCCAAGAAAUAAAUAAAUAAUCUCUAUCUAUCAUCUGCUGAUUCUUGAAGAACUGAGCAAGAAUCAACUAAGCCUUCAUUUGGCUAACAAGGGUUAUCGUUUAACCAUAGAAUUAGUGUCGGAAACCCAAAAAUUUGCAGCCUUGAGGAGGUAAAGUUGCAGCUUUAGGGCCAUUGGACCAGGCAAAAGGAUAUGGGUUGAAGUAUUUGAAAGAGAUUGAAGUGAUCAGAUGAUCAGAUCCAUGAAUAUGGAAAUUCAAGGAGAGGGAUCAGUUAAUGGAGGGGGUUAGACUGGGAAACCGGCAGUGACCCGGGAGUGGUGCAUGAUUAAACCCG